CAAUAGCGUAUAUUAAAGUUGUUGCAGUUAAAAAGCUCGUAGUUGGAUUUCUGGAUGGAGCGACCGGUCGGGCAUUAAUUUGUCUGCACUGGAGUCGGUUCCGUCCAUCCUCUUGGAAGGUGCGUGGGGCAUUAAGUUGUCUGGCGUAUGAUCCAAGUCGUUUACUGUGAAAAAAUUAGAGUGUUUAAAGCAGGCCUUCGCCUUGAAUACAUUAGCAUGGAAUAAUAAGAUAGGACUUUGGUCUAUUUUGUUGGUUUGCAGACCGAAGUAAUGAUUAAUAGGGAUAGUUGGGGGUAUUUAUAUUCCGAUGUCAGAGGUGAAAUUCUUAGAUUUUCGGAAGAUAAACUUAUGCGAAAGCAUUUACCAAGGAUGUUUUCAUUAA
rnacentral:rRNA from 1 species